GCGCCCGAAAGCGUCAAAACCAAUUAUUCAUGGUCGUUUGAUUGUCGCUGAGCAGCCUGACUACGAAUCAGAAGGUCGUAGGUUCGAAUCCUGCCGGGCGCGCCA
rnacentral:tRNA from 1 species